rnacentral:rRNA from 1 species
UACGGAGGGUGCAAGCGUUAUCCGGAUUUACUGGGUUUAAAGGGUGCGUAGGUGGGCAAGUAAGUCAGUGGUGAAAUCUUCGAGCUUAACUCGGAAACUGCCAUUGAUACUAUUUGUCUUGAAUACUUUGGAGGUAAGCGGAAUAUGUCAUGUAGCGGUGAAAUGCUUAGAUAUGACAUAGAACACCAAUUGCGAAGGCAGCUUACUACACAGUUACUGACACUGAGGCACGAAAGCGUGGGGAUCAAACAGG